UACGUAGGGUGCAAGCGUUGUCCGGAAUUAUUGGGCGUAAAGAGCUCGUAGGCGGUCUGUCGCGUCGGAUGUGAAAAUCCAGGGCUCAACCCUGGACCUGCAUUCGAUACGGGCAGACUAGAGUUCGGUAGGGGAGACUGGAAUUCCUGGUGUAGCGGUGAAAUGCGCAGAUAUCAGGAGGAACACCGGUGGCGAAGGCGGGUCUCUGGGCCGAAACUGACGCUGAGGAGCGAAAGCG
rnacentral:rRNA from 1 species